AAUAAAUUAUGAAAUGGUACAUAAUGUGUAGUGUGCUAGACGUCACUUGCUUCGUGACUGUCAUUGCGUCGAGAUCUGAAAAUAUCAUACGUACAAUUUUGAAACAGUGUCACGUGCAAAGAAUCAAA
ensembl:ncRNA T14G11.5 ncRNA